AUUUUUGAGAGAAGAGAGUUGGAAGAAUUUCAAAUUUUGCAAAGGGGAUAUUCUGGAAGUUUUCAGAGGGCGAGGAGAUUAAGUCUGUAAUAGAGAUAAUGUUGCAGAUGUGGUUGAUAAAGCUUAGAGAUGAGAGAGAUGCGGGGAAAACCUUUCAGGGAUUUUUGUAAAAAGAAUAAAUUUGUAUUGGGAAGAUUAUGUUGUGUAAAAUUUAAAAGUUGAAAUGUCAACGGUGUAGACUAUAUUGUUUAAAGUUUGUAAGUUUGGUAUUGUACUUUGGAGUAAUUGAAAUAAAGUUUGAUUGUUUAUAUGAGGUAUCAAAUUAAUUUAGUCUCUACUAUCAGUAAUACCCUUUAAAAUGUUUGGGUGUUACAUUAUGGUAUCAGAGCAAUGGUUUUCGAAAGUAUUUUGGGACUAUGGGGAGUGAAAUUAUUAUUCUUAGUAAAACUAUUAAUUGUUAUGAUGAAAAUGACUAUUGG
rnacentral:sRNA from 1 species